rnacentral:lncRNA from 10 species
AUGGCAGGGCUGCACUCUGCCAGGGAGCGUCCUGUGAUGGAGGGGCUGCACUGCCACUUUACUGAUGAGGAAAUUAAGGGACGCGGCUUCCCCUGAAUGCGGAUCCUAGAGGCCAGGCAGAAGCAGCAUGGGUUUCCACUCACACGAUCUAUCUACUGCUCAUGAAAUCUCUGGAUUUAACUCUGAUGAAAGACUGGAGGCUGAAGGAGAACUUCAAUAUCAUAUAUUUUAAAGGUUGACUCACAGUUUGGAGCAAGAAUUAAAGAACCACGAACUUCAAGGUAAAACGGGCAACGGCGUUGGGGCAAGCCUCUCUGCACCUGCGUGUCCAGCCUCUCCUGCAUGCCAGAAGUCCCCAGGCAGGAGUGUGGUGGGACAUCCGGCUGGGUCUGGAUGAAGUGCUUCAUGCCUGUAAUCCAAGCACUUUGAGAGGCUGAGGCGGGUGGAUGGCUUGAGCCCAGGAGUUUGAGACCAGCAUGGAAAACAUAGAGAAACCCCGUCUCAAUAUAAGAAGAAGAAGAAAAAGAAAAAAAAAAAUCAAAAACGAAAACAACACAAAUUUUAGGGUAAGUAUUUUAAGUUCCACAAAAACCUGGUUAGGAUUUGGAUAGCAAUUUCUUUAGUUCUACAAAUCAAUUUGGAAAAAAUUAAUUAAUUUGGGAAGAAUUCAUUUUGAGUCUUCUAAUCCAUGAACAUGGUAUCUCCAUUUGUUUAGACCAUCUUUAAUGCCUACUAAUAACAUUUCUGUAUAGUGACCUUGCACAUUAUUCUUAGAUUCUUGAUAUUUUGUGCUAUUAUGUCUUUUUAUAAAUUUUAUUUUUCCAACAUUGUUGCUAAUAUAUAGUAAGAAAAUGGAAUCUUGCCUAUGGAUUUUGAACCCAACAACUUUGCUAAACUCCUCUGAAUCCUCAGAAUUUCCUUGUGGAUUAUGUAGGCUCUUCUGCAUACACAACCAUAUCAUUUGUGAAUAAAGACAGUUUUGCUUUCUUCUUCACAAACUACCCGACUCACUGUGCAGUCUGCCACAUCCAGGCUGAUAUUGAAUAGCAGUGGCACUAAUAGGAUUCUUUGUCCCCUUGCCAAUCUUGUAAAGAAAGCUUUCAACAUUUUCCUGUUAGCUCUGUUGGCAGCUCUGACUUUUUCCAUAGAUGGCCUUCAUCAGCUUAACAAUGGGUCUUUUCUUCCCAGAGGGCUGAGCUUUUCCUUAAGAACAGACAGUGAGUGUCAUCAAACACUAGGCUGCAUCUGUUGAGAUGGUCAUACGACUUGUGUCUUUUCCUGUGUUUGUGUGUGAACUCUCUGGGUGUCUGAGAGUUCUUGUGACUUUCACAGAAGAACACAAUUUACCUUCCGGUGUGGGAAGGGGAAGGAGGCAGAGGAAGAAAGACCCCCAAGUCCCCCUCAUCCCCACUGACCUUCCUGCUGGCUUCGUCCUUGAUCUGUGCCUCCUUAGAUGCUGUGUUUGAGUACUUGCAGUCAUGAUGACAGGGCCAACCUCCUGACCAGGGCUGUUAGCACCUCCCCUGUUGCCCAGAGCCCCUGCUCCAAACCACUUCCUUCAUCUUCUGUACCCCCAGCCAAUAUUUCCCUGCCCAGUGUCAACCCAGGCCCAGAACCAGACCACAAGGGACAGCCCCGGAACCCAGAAUCAGACAAAUCAGCCCGUCCCAAGCUGUCUCCCCUGCUCUGCCCGGCUUUCACAGGGAAGCCAACACAGGCUGUGGCUUGGCCUUUCCCUAGCUCCUUUCUGCCUCCUGCUCUGCCUGCGGCUUCCCCCUGCCGCCCUGCGGGGCCUGCCACGUCUCUCAUUUCUAGCGAAUGUUUCAAGAGCGAUGUUAGACUUUCCUUUCAAUAGCGUUGACCUCUGUUAGGCACCUUUAUGGAUUAAGACCUGGGCAUAGAUGGUUUCUUCGGCAUCACGACCUGAAGGUGCUUGGGAGAGACGGUGAGGAGGAGAAUGCACCCUGCCAUGCUCUGCACCGCACAUGGAUGCGGAUUUCACCAUGUUGGCCAGGCUGGUCUGAAACACACGGAGCCCAAGCGCCCGGUGGACCCUCUGACGGUCCUCGGGCAUGUGCCUUUGUGAUGUAAAAUUCUCAAACAAUGAGAUAGAUAAAAAGUACGCAGCCAAAAAGUUCAAGAAGAAGUGUUAUGGAGAUGGAGCAGGCCCUUCGUAAAAACACGAUGUUGGUUUUCUGGAUUUUGUAUGUUUGCUUUUUUUUUUUCCUCAUCCUAAAGAAAUAUUCACUGUCAUACCUAAUUUUGUUUUUGUAAGUUUGUAUUCUUUCUUUAUAGGGAGGCCUCACAAAACCUGGAUCAGACUCGCCCACUGCCCUGUGUCUGCCCUCCCGACCACCUCUCCUGCCCAGCAGGGAUGUGGGUGGCAGUGGUGCUGUGUGGAGGGUGGCGGGAGGACGGGGAAGACUGCGACCAGUGAGCCGGGAGGCCUUGGGACAGCCUCUCUCUGAAUCAUCCUGUGCACUGCCAGGUGUGACAAAGGCUCCUAGAAUCCUGCCUCAAGUGGCCGCCUUCACAGAGGGAGUCACUGACGUCCCUGCUCAAUGCAGCCCUGGCAUGUGGGGGUCCCUCUACUCAUGAGAAACCCCCACCCAAUCACCAUGAGAUGAAGAAAUGGGGCCUGGCGAGGAGCAAAGCCCAGAACUGCUACCCACCACCCUCCCUGCCUGGUGCUUUCCUGGGAACAUGUGGGAGCCCCCGACUGGACCUUGGGACCUCCCAUCUGUAAUUGCAGGCCCCAGUCUGCCUGUGUGGAUGUGGAAUGUGUCACUCGGGAUCCUGGAGUCCUCCUGAGCUUGUCCAGCAGGGCUGCAUUCACUGAUGUGCUGACAGAGGCCUAGGCUCGGACCUUUAGGAAUAUCCAAGGCAUCUCAUUAUGCAGAAAACCACCCUCAUGAGGUCCUGGGGGCCUCUCUCCAUCUUCCUGGGGGUGACGCAAUAGAGUGUAACUUCCACGCUGCCGAGACAGGCCAUGAGGGGUUGCCCCCAUUGGAGGGGCAGAGUGGUAUUUGUGGGGUGGUAGGAAUCAUUCAAUGCCCAGCUGCAACCCCCCGGGCUCACAGCACACUCUUAAGGCCAGUGCUACCAGCUCCCUUGGGUGGAUAGAGGAGCUACGGCUCAGAAGCAUGCCCACAGCUCCCCCAGGACCCUGAGGCCAGCCUGUGGCAGGGCCUGUGAUUUGAACCCCUCUACGAGGCUUCAAAUCAGUGCUGUUUGUCCUGGCCUCAUAAAACCUGGCUGCCCAGUUGGGAUUGGUGUCAUCUGCCUUGCUGAACUGGGCACUCCUUGGGAAGAGGGUGGGUGCUGCGAGAAGGCGGUGGAUCCUGGCUGUGCAACCUUCGCAGGUGGCUGAACCUCUCUGUGUCUCAGUUUGCUCAUCUGCAAAGGGGGCUGGGAUUCCUGCCUACCUGCAUGUGCUCAAGAGGGAAAGCCAGCCAGGCAUGGUGGCUCAUGCCUGUAAUCCCAUCACUUUGGGAGGCUGAGGUGGGCAGAUCACUUGAGGUCAGGAGUUCAAGACCAGCCUGGCCUAAAUGGCAAAACCCCAUCUCUACUAAAAAAAUAAAAUAAAAAUAAAAAAAUUAGCUGGACGUGGUGGCAGGUGCCUUUAACCCCAGCUACUGGGGAGGCUGAGGCAGGAGAAUCACUUGAAUCCGGGAGACGAAGGUUGCAGUGAGCUGAGAUCCCACCAUUGCACUCCAGCCUGGGUGACAAGAGUGAAACUCCACCUCAAAAUAAAUAAAUAAAUAAAUAAAUAAAUAAAUAAAUAAAGUAAAAGAGGGAAUGCUGAGAGACGGGCGUGGCCUGUGGCUCUGUAGCUACUCAGGAGGCUGAGUCAGGAGGAUUGCUUUAGGCCAGAGAUUCCAGGCUGCAGUGAGCUAUGAUCAUGCCUGUGAACAGCCGCUAUAUUCUAUCCUGGGAAACACAGUGAGACCCUGUCUCUGAAAAAAUAAAAUAUUUAAAAAAG